GGUUGGCUAGCUCAGUUGGUUAGAGCGUCGAGCUAAUAUGUGAAAAAUAUACUCGAAGGUCGUGGGUUCGACCCCCCCGCUGACCA
rnacentral:tRNA from 1 species